GAGGCCCACCCAGCCGAGAAGUCCCCAUAGCUCAGCGUCAUCUUCGCUGAGCUCUGGGACGGAACUACCACGCACUUCCAGACCCAGCAAAAACCAGACCUAGUGCCAAAACUAAGGCAGUGACCCGCCCACUCACCACUGCAGCGCGUGGACCAGGCUCUACUGCAAUGUUUUACCUGGCUGCAGCCGUGUCAGAUUUCUAUGUUCCUGUUUCUGAAAUGCCUGAACACAAGAUCCAGUCAUCUGGGGGCCUACUGCAGAUAACAAUGAAGAUGGUGCCAAAAAUGCUUUCUCCUUUGGUUAAAGAUUGGGCUCCCAAAGCAUUUAUAAUUUCCUUUAAGUUGGAGACUGACCCCUCCUCGUAAUUAAUCAUGCUCGGAACGCUUUGGAAAUUUAUCAACAUCAAGUGGUGGUGGCUAAUAUCCUUGAGUCACGACAGUCCUUUGUGGUUAUUGUAACCAAAGACUCAGAAACCAAGUUAUUGUUAUCAGAGGAAGAAGUAGGAAAAGGCAUAGAGAUAGAAGAGAAGAUAAUGGAUAAUCUUCAAUCUCAACACACAGCCUUUAUAUGUGAAAAAAACUGAAGUAAAAGCCCUUAUAGGGUCAAAUAUUAUUCAGGGGUCUUACAGCUGGUGAGAACUAUAAUAAAUCCUUCGCUUUCUUUCAUAAGGACAGAGAAAAUGAAGGAAAGGAAAAAAGUGAUGUGUAGGCAAAUAUAGUUUGGUAUUUUGUCUUUUAAUGACCAAACCACCUGACACACUUUGACCUGAAUGUCAUUUUGAUUUUGAAAUUGAACACUAGAGCUGUUUCUCACCUUUAACAAAAGAGCUUAUUGGGAAUUAUAUAUUCCUCAAAGUCUACAUGGGGGCCUGAAUAUCAGCCUUCAUACUACAAAAGGAGGAUUAUGGAUGCAUGAGUGAUCAUGCUUUGAAGAUCAAAUAUUUGUUGAGUGCCUACUAUGUGCCAGGUCCUAUGCUGAGCUAUGAGGAUUAAAACAAUGAAUAAACAUGUCUUGUUUGGGAAAUGGAUGUAUAAAAAAAUACAAUAAAGUGUGUGCCAAAA